GGGUUGUGAGGUUAAGCGACCAAGCGUACACGGUGGAUGCCCUGGCAGUCAGAGGCGAUGAAGGACGUGCUAAUCUGCGAUAAGCGCCGGUAAGGUGAUAUGAACCGUUAUAACCGGCGAUUUCCGAAUGGGGAAACCCAGUGUGAUUCGUCACACUAUCAUUAACUGAAUCCAUAGGUUAAUGAAGCGAACCGGGGGAACUGAAACAUCUAAGUACCCCGAGGAAAAGAAAUCAACCGAGAUUCCCCCAGUAGCGGCGAGCGAACGGGGAGGAGCCCAGAGCCUGAAUCAGCAUGUGUGUUAGUGGAAGCGUCUGGAAAGGCGCGCGAUACAGGGUGACAGCCCCGUACACAAAAGCGCAUAUGCUGUGAGCUCGAUGAGUAGGGCGGGACACGUGGUAUCCUGUCUGAAUAUGGGGGGACCAUCCUCCAAGGCUAAAUACUCCUGACUGACCGAUAGUGAACCAGUACCGUGAGGGAAAGGCGAAAAGAACCCCGGCGAGGGGAGUGAAACAGAACCUGAAACCGUGUACGUACAAGCAGUGGGAGCACAGGUUUACCUGUGUGACUGCGUACCUUUUGUAUAAUGGGUCAGCGACUUAUAUUCUGUAGCAAGGUUAACCGUAUAGGGGAGCCGAAGGGAAACCGAGUCUUAAUUGGGCGUUAAGUUGCAGGGUAUAGACCCGAAACCCGGUGAUCUAGCCAUGGGCAGGUUGAAGGUUGGGUAACACUAACUGGAGGACCGAACCGACUAAUGUUGAAAAAUUAGCGGAUGACCUGUGGCUGGGGGUGAAAGGCCAAUCAAACCGGGAGAUAGCUGGUUCUCCCCGAAAGCUAUUUAGGUAGCGCCUCGUGAAUUCAUCUCCGGGGGUAGAGCACUGUUUCGGCUAGGGGGCCAUCCCGGCUUACCAACCCGAUGCAAACUGCGAAUACCGGAGAAUGUUAUCACGGGAGACACACGGCGGGUGCUAACGUCCGUCGUGAAGAGGGAAACAACCCAGACCGCCAGCUAAGGUCCCAAAGUCAUGGUUAAGUGGGAAACGAUGUGGGAAGGCCCAGACAGCCAGGAUGUUGGCUUAGAAGCAGCCAUCAUUUAAAGAAAGCGUAAUAGCUCACUGGUCGAGUCGGCCUGCGCGGAAGAUGUAACGGGGCUAAACCAU
rnacentral:rRNA from 1 species